UACAGAGGUCUCGAGCGUUAGGCGGAAUCACUGGGCUUAAAGCGUGUGUAGGCGGGUCGUUAAGUGCCUUGUGAAGUCCCAUGGCUCAACCAUGGAACUGCUGGGCAUACUGGCGAUCUUGUGCCACCUAGGGGCGAGCGGAACAGAUGGUGGAGCGGUGAAAUGCGUAGAUAUCAUCUGGAACGCCAAUGGUGAAAACAGCUCGCUGGGGGUGUGCAGACGCUGAGACACGAAAGCCAGGGGAGCGAACGGG
rnacentral:rRNA from 1 species